rnacentral:lncRNA from 1 species
AUCCAGGGCCACCAGUUGCCUUCCCAAGCUGCUCCUUACCUCUUCCCCUAUGCUGCAUCCCUGGGAGGUUUACAGCGGUGCUUCAAAAACAAGAAUGACCAAUGCAGGUGAGUUGCAUUCCUCAGGCAGAUAUACUCUGUCCUGAAAAUAUUUUCUAGGUCUCUUCUUAGGGAGGAAGGAGCUUUGGGGAUGCAGUUAGUUGCUGGCUCUGCAGCUCAGAGUGUUGGCCAGCGGGAGAGUCAACCAGGACUGCAGUGUGAUGUGAGCGCCAGUUUAAUGGGCUACAACCCACUAUCAAAUUUCGUGUGCUUCCAGCUGCUGCUCAUCUCACCUGAAUGUUUACCAGCUCCCUCCAGGAAUGCUGUCCUGGUGAAUGGGUAAACAGCAUCACAGGGCUAGUGGUACAGCUCCCACCAAAGUGGGGAGGCUGGCAUAUCUCUGUGUAUCCCCGCUUUGCAGCAUGGCUCAUGGCUCUGUUUAGAGAAAUGAUUCCUCAAAUGAUGUUAUAAAGUGACAUGUGGUGGUAUGAGACUGUAUAUUUCCAAUGGCUCACAGGGAGAGUGUCACAUGCUUGAAACUGGCCCCAGUGCUUUGAAAAUGGGCAGUUGCCAUCAGUAACAUAUUCUUCCUCUGCAUAUUCGAUUCCUCAUGGAUGUCUUUUGAGGCAUGGAGUGUGGCAGAGUUGUGGAUAUGCCUCACGUGCCCUUAUUAGAUGCCUGGAUGCAUUUUGAAAAUGGCUGCUUAGAAAAUGUCUAAUUGCUAUUCCACAUAUUCAAAGUGUGUGUGUGGUUUUUUUUUUGUUUUUUUUUUUUCUCUUGACAAGGCUUUGGCAUGCCUUGGAUUGCUAAAUAUACUUUCCUCUUGCAAAUUCUUGGCAGGAAACUGUGUAAGGAAUCACGCCAAGCAGUCUCUUCGAAUGUUAACAAGCUCAUCGAUGUGGCUUUCCCAGCGCAGGGGGACCAUUGUUUUUGGCUUGGAGUUUUGGAGUCCCCUCCACUCUGAAGCAAUGCUUCAACCAGAUGCAACUGGGACCCCCAAAAUUAAUUGGAUUACUGCAGAAGUGAAACUGGGAAGGUUAAGAACAUUGUCCAGCUUGAGUGAGGUGCAAACAAAAGCAAAUAAGCAGUAGUACAUUUUAAAAAGUACAGCAGAUCAGCAGUUCUUUCAUGAUGAAGUAUCAGCAGUGUGAUGGGUAGCCAGAGGAAGGGAUCUUGCUUGAUCAAACUCAUGUAAAAAAUAAUAUACAGAGUUAUUAUUUGGGGGGUUGGGUAAUUAGUCCCUGGUAUUACUCCAGGGACCAGGAUGAGAACGCUUGCCUAGUCCCAGGACACACCACGUGCAUUUUAUAGGGUAUGCUGCAUGCCACAGACCGUCAACCCACCCUAGACUCACUGAUCCCACAAACAAACAUGUUGUUGUAUAACUCCAUGGCCAUGAGUAAUCCUGUGCUGAAAGUUGUUGUGCUGCAUAAGAGUCAUAAACAGCAGCAGCAUUUUGCAUUGACUGAUUUUUUAAUUAAAAAAACCCAAAACCUACAGCUGAAAGUGUUAACUAAGCACCACAAAGCCAGUAUUCCCGUGGCUGGGGGAACACAAACUUUCCCAGUGUCCGACUUGAACCAUCUAAUCCCACAACGAUAUUAACAGAGAUUUCCAGUUUUAUUAGUUCAGUUGCAUUUCCCUAGCUUUGUUAUUAUUAUUUUUUUACUAAUGAAAAAAAACAAAUCAC